rnacentral:rRNA from 1 species
GUUAAGCGACUAAGCGUACACGGUGGAUGCCCUGGCAGUCAGAGGCGAUGAAGGACGUGCUAAUCUGCGAUAAGCGUCGGUGAGGUGAUAUGAACCGUUAUAACCGGCGAUUUCCGAAUGGGGAAACCCAGUGUGUUUCGACACACUAUCAUUAACUGAAUCCAUAGGUUAAUGAGGCGAACCGGGGGAACUGAAACAUCUAAGUACCCCGAGGAAAAGAAAUCAACCGAGAUUCCCCCAGUAGCGGCGAGCGAACGGGGAGGAGCCCAGAGCCUGAAUCAGUGUGUGUGUUAGUGGAAGCGUCUGGAAAGGCGCGCGAUACAGGGUGACAGC